CACGUAGGCGGCUUUUUAAGUCAGAGGUGAAAUCCCGGGGCUCAACCCCGGAACUGCCUUUGAACUGGGAAGCUAGAAUCUUGGAGAGGCGAGUGGAAUUCCGAGUGUAGAGGUGAAAUUCGUAGAUAUUCGGAAGAACACCAGUGGCGAAGGCGACUCGCUGGACAAGUAUUGACGCUGAGGUGCGAAAGCGUGGGGAGCAAACA
rnacentral:rRNA from 1 species